UGGAGCUCAGGGUGGGGCAACCCCCUGUGGGGUGUCUCCCAGGGAGUAUGCCAAGCUGUGACUGAUUGUGUUUUCUAAGCAGGUCACCUGGCUACCAAUGGCUGCCUUCCUCUGCACCCUCGGAACUCUUGCGCUCUGUGCUUCAGAAGAAUUUGUGACAGCACUAUGUCCAUCCAGAGAUAAGAUGCAGUGAAACCAAUCUUCCAUCAAAUUUAAAAAUUAAAGAUGGGGCUAGAGAGAUGGCUCAGUGUCUGGCAGAGAGCCCCCACGUUCAGUUCAUAGCGUCCACAUCGAGGAGCAGCUAACAACUUCAUGUGCCCUCUGCUGCCUGCGAGAGUACUUGCACGCAAGAGCCCAUACCCAUGCCCCCACAUAUUGUAACAGAGUGAAAUAAAGCCGUAAAUAUUUUAA